rnacentral:tRNA from 2 species
GGAGGGUUGGCAGAGUGGUUUAAUGCAACGGUCUUGAAAACCGUGGUACUUUUAACGGUACCGAGGGUUCGAAUCCCUCACCCUCCUCCA